GAUAAACGCUGGCGGCGCACAUAAGACAUGCAAGUCGAACGAACUUAGGUCCAUUCUUUACGAUUGGAUACGGUUAGUGGCGGACUGGUGAGUAACGCGUGAGCAACCUACCUAUUAGAGGGGAAUAACAGUGAGAAAUCACUGCUAAUACCGCAUAAGCUGAAAGAAUCGCAUGAUUCAGUCAGAAAAGGAGUAAUCCGCUAAUAGAUGGGCUCGCGUCUGAUUAGCUAGUUGGUGGGGUAAAGGCCUACCAAGGCGACGAUCAGUAGCCGGACUGAGAGGUUGAACGGCCACAUUGGGACUGAGAUACGGCCCAG
rnacentral:rRNA from 1 species